GACGAACGCUGGCGGCGUGCUUAACACAUGCAAGUCGAACGGUGAUCCCAGGAGCUUGCUUCUGGGUGAGCAGUGGCGAACGGGUGAGUAACACGUGAGUAACCUGCCCCUGACUCUGGAAUAAGCGCUGGAAACGGCGUCUAAUACCGGAUACGAGACGCAACCGCAUGGUUAGUGUCUGGAAAGUUUUUCGGUCUGGGAUGGACUCGCGGCCUAUCAGCUUGUUGGUGAGGUAAUGGCUCACCAAGGCGAUGACGGGUAGCCGGCCUGAGAGGGCGAUCGGCCACACUGGGACUGAGACACGGCCCAGACUCCUACGGGAGGCAGCAGUGGGGAAUAUUGCACAAUGGGCGAAAGCCUGAUGCAGCGACGCCGCGUGAGGGAUGACGGCCUUCGGGUUGUAAACCUCUUUCAGCAGGGAAGAAGCGCAAGUGACGGUACCUGCAGAAGAAGCACCGGCUAACUACGUGCCAGCCGCCGCCGUAA
rnacentral:rRNA from 1 species